rnacentral:rRNA from 1 species
UACGUAGGGUGCAAGCGUUGUCCGGAAUUAUUGGGCGUAAAGAGCUCGUAGGCGGUUUGUCACGUCUGCUGUGAAAACUGGAGGCUCAACCUCCAGCUUGCAGUGGGUACGGGCAGACUAGAGUGCGGUAGGGGAGAUUGGAAUUCCUGGUGUAGCGGUGGAAUGCGCAGAUAUCAGGAGGAACACCGAUGGCGAAGGCAGAUCUCUGGGCCGUAACUGACGCUGAGGAGCGAAAGCGUGGGGGAGCGAACAGG